rnacentral:rRNA from 1 species
UACGUAGGGGGCAAGCGUUGUCCGGAAUCAUUGGGCGUAAAGCGCGUGUAGGCGGCCCGGUAAGUCCGCUGUGAAAGGCGGGGGCUCAACCCUCGAAUGCCGGUGGAUACUGUCGGGCUAGAGUACGGAAGAGGCGAGUGGAAUUCCUGGUGUAGCGGUGAAAUGCGCAGAUAUCAGGAGGAACACCAAUUGCGAAGGCAGCUCGCUGGGACGUUACUGACGCUGAGACGCGAAAGCGUGGGGAGCAAACAGG